CCUACGGGUGGCAGCAGUGAGGAAUAUUGGUCAAUGGACGAGAGUCUGAACCAGCCAAGUAGCGUGAAGGAUGACUGCCCUAUGGGUUGUAAACUUCUUUUAUAUGGGAAUAAAACGUUCAACGUGAGGGAUUAUGUAUGUACCAUAUCAAUAAAGAACGGCUAACUCCGUGCCAGCAGCCGCGGUAAUACGGAGGAUCCGAGCGUUAUCCGGAUUUAUUGGGUUUAAAGGGAGCGUAGGUGGAUUGUUAAGUCAGUUGUGAAAGUUUGCGGCUCAACCGUAAAAUUGCAGUUGAAACUGGCAGUCUUGAGUACAGUAGAGGUGGGCGGAAUUCGUGGUGUAGCGGUGAAAUGCUUAGAUAUCACGAAGAACACCGGUGGCGAAGGCAGUUCACUGGACUGCAACUGACGCUGAGGCUCGAAAGUGUGGGUAUCAAACAGGAUUAGAUACCCCAGUAGUC
rnacentral:rRNA from 1 species